UCUAUGACGUUAGCGGCGGACGGGUGAGUAACACGUGGGCAACCUGCCUGUAAGACUGGGAUAACUUCGGGAAACCGAAGCUAAUACCGGAUAGGAUCUUCUCCUUCAUGGGAGAUGAUUGAAAGAUGGUUUCGGCUAUCACUUACAGAUGGGCCCGCGGUGCAUUAGCUAGUUGGUGAGGUAACGGCUCACCAAGGCAACGAUGCAUAGCCGACCUGAGAGGGUGAUCGGCCACACUGGGACUGAGACACGGCCCAGACUCCUACGGGAGGCAGCAGUAGGGAAUCUUCCGCAAUGGACGAAAGUCUGACGGAGCAACGCCGCGUGAGUGAUGAAGGCUUUCGGGUCGUAAAACUCUGUUGUUAGGGAAGAACAAGUACGAGAGUAACUGCUCGUACCUUGACGGUACCUAACCAGAAAGCCACGGCUAACUACGUGCCAGCAGCCGCGGUAAUACGUAGGUGGCAAGCGUUAUCCGGAAUUAUUGGGCGUAAAGCGCGCGC
rnacentral:rRNA from 2 species